GAACGAGCCUUUAACUUGCAAAAAACCCAGCCCGGCUUUGGCGGUUCCCGGGCUUUUUAGAGGGACUUUCAGCUUCUAGCGGACGGAAGUUUGAGGAAAUAACAGGUCUGUGAUGCCCUUAGAUGUUUGGGGCCGCACGCGCGCUCCACUGACAGAGCCAGGGAGUUUUUUCCCUUGGCCGGAAGGUCUGGGUAAUCUUGUGAAACUCUGUCGUGCUGGGGAUAGAGCAUUGCAAUUAUUGCUCUUCAACGAGGAAUACCUAGUAAGCGUGAGUCAUCAGCUCGCGUUGAUUAC
rnacentral:rRNA from 1 species